GCUCGCUUUGGCAGCACAUAUACUAAAA
rnacentral:snRNA from 1 species